CAAAACACCAUCAAGUUCCAUUUCAGUCAGCAUUCCAACUCCGACACAGACUUAAAACAGCGACAAUAUCAGCAAUGCAGUAAGGCAAGUAUUCUUUGUUGGUACUUUAUUGAAAACAUUUUUGCAAUAUCAGAAUUAAGGUUUAAAUGUAGAUUUAUAGCAUUUACCGAAGAUGAAACGAUCGAGACUCCUGUUAGGCAGGAAUUCAUAGACGAGAAGGCUUUCAGGUCCAGAACAACUGCACCCCAACAACCUGACCAGAUUUUUGUGUUCCACACUACUUAUCAUGUUUAGUUCAUUGUAGAAAUCCUUAGCUCUAUGUCUGUUGUUAAAGAAGAGCCUCUUCACUGCAAUCUCCCUUCCAUCAGGUAAAGCUCCCUGCAAUGAACAAAUAAAACUUAGACAAACCCUGGUCUAAUUUAGUUAUUAGAAGAAUUUGAUUAGUACUAACAUAUCAUAAUGAAACUAGUAGAGAACAACCUUGUAAACAGAUCCAAAUCCUCCUUGUCCAAGCUUGUUGGUGUCGUCAAAAGAUCCAGUAGCCUUCUCAAGUGUCGAGUACUUGAAGUUCAAGCUACUGUCAUUGAGGGUUCUGGCCACCUUUUGAGCCUCAUUAGAACCUGUAAGAUGAAGACACAAGCAUUCCAGAAGUCAAGGAAAAUGUCAAAGAUAACCAAUACUGUUAUAAGUCGUCAGAUUAUGAGCGUUAUAUAUUUUCUGAAGCAGAUAACACACGCAAAGGAAGUUUGUUACCUCUUCUUUUCUUCAUUAUAUAUCUGCGUUUCCAUAUAUGAACUCCUAUAGAUACUCCAAGUCCCAAAACCACCAGAGAGCUGAUAACUGAAACAACUAUUAUUACAAUGCUCCCUGCAGUUCAUUCAUCCAGAUGCAUGAAUCACGAGGCCAAGUUUAUUAGUGUAAGAACUUCAAAUAUAUAUGAACCGCAUUCAGUCAUAGCAACUUUGCAACACAAGAGAAUGCAAUUCCUUUACCUCUGGAACCUCCAUUCCCAAGUUCGUCGUUGAGAAAAUCUAUAUCCGAGUACCUCAUGAAACACCCAGUAUAUAGUGCUCUGCCCUCCGACCAUGGCAAACAUCCCAAUAUAGAUGCAGUGGCAUUCUCCAAGCAUGCCCUGCAAGAGCUUGCAUUUAAUGUCUUCCAGCAAUUAGCUAACACAUAAGCUGACUCAUUUGUGCCCGGAACUGUGAGCUGUACCCGUGCAUAACCUUGAUUAUUUGAUGCGCUAGUGACUGCUUGUGAGACAGCCUGCCUUGUCGAUUCCGCAAAGGUUGAAUUCUUACGCGUUGUAUUUCCACAAACAGCCUUAUCUCCAGGUCCUAGAUAUUCUUCAUAGAAACUAUAAUUCUCAGCUCGAAUGAAGCAACCAUCAAGGUGAAUGCGACCCCCAUUAUAAGGAUAGCAUUGUGGAAGAACCGUACGUGCCUCGGCAUAGCAUAGUACACAGUCAAGUAACGACAGGUCCCCAUAGCAUUGGGCAAGGCCAUAGUUAAUGUCAGGUCCAGAGCCUGAAACUGCAACUCCAAAGCCUGACGCACUCAUCUGUUCACUGAUGUUUUCCAUUGUGGCAACAAAAUUUGGCACGAAGAUAGUUGCGUUGUGAUCCAGUUGGCGUCCACACAUAACUUGGACCGUCUGGGAUCUAGGAUGUCCAACCACCACCCGUUCACGCAACAAAACAUACCCAAAAAAGCAGAAGAAAAUCCUUUGGUAAGGGAUCGAUUGGAUUGCUUUUGUCAUCUUUGGCUUCGAUUACAAGAUUGGCUGUGCAAGGUGGAUCAGGUCGUUAGAAAAUCUCAAGUCAUGACUAAGAUCAAAAAGGGGUAGCACGUCGAGAGUAAUGAAAACACAACAAAGACCAGAACUGUCAAAACUAUGGAUUGAGUAACCACUCGAGAAAGGGAAAUGGGCUGGGCAUAAAUAAGGCGUGGAGUUGUUGCCGGCUUUUUAUUUGUGGCACUCUCGAACAGAUUGCAGAUCAUGGGUUCCUUCAUUUUUCAAGUCAAAAAAAGUAGGUACUCUUUUGGUGCCAAACAGCCCAGAUGGAGUUUCCUGAUUUCACACCUGUUUUUCUCCACCAUUUUCACACGAUAUAUCUCACAAGGAAGGAAACAAGAUGAAAUGAGAAAAACCACCUCAGCCGUAAGUAUGCGUGUUGGGCAAGAUCCAAUGGUUACUAGCAACCCGAUGCUCAUCUUGAUUAAAGAAGAAUUUGCCGUCAAAUUCUUAAAUGAUCCAGAAGCAGUGUGGGGCAUUAAUUAUCCAAAAAGGCAAUGGACCCUUCCUGCACCCCAAGGCCAGCCCCACACUCUCUUGCAUCGCAUCCAUCCUCUUAAAUUUUUUAGCAAGACAUUAAGACGGUGACAGCUAGCCUACGCCUAAGCCCAGGCCUAUACAAAACUACUGAUAAAUCCUCGAACACGUGGUUGAGUAGUUUAUCCAUCUUUUUUUUGGUGAGAGGAACAGUGAAAAAACAUAAAAAUGUUCCUGAUUACACGAUUCUGAUCCAAUAUUCCAGCUUCGACAGCUAUGUCGGGCAGCCAAAUCAAAGUAAAAAGAACUGAAAGAAGGAACGACUACCUUUCUUACAAAAAACUAAAAUAAAAUGAUUCAUGUUAAUAUUGUUUUUCUUGAUCAUACUAGACUAGCAGGGCGAGAUGGGUUUCUAAUUAAAUUAAGCUUCCUUCCUAGCUACCUCUGCAACGUCAAGUUUUUUGUCUUUUUCUUUUUUUAAAGAAUUAUUAGUCUAUCAAAGAAAAUAAAAGAGAAAAAGACAAGAAAUUGUAUAUAUAGAUUUGCAUGCAUACAUACACACCUUAAUUAGUGUUGUGUAGAGCAGCUGAACUGAGAGAUCUUGUGCAAUAAUGGAGAAAGUCUUAGCUUUAUCUGUUUCUAACUUUACAACUGAAGAAGAUGAAGAAGAAGAAGAAUAUUAUUAUUAUCUAAGUAGUUGAAUACAAGAUUGCCAAGGUAGCGCGCUCAAGUCAAAGUGAAGAUACAAACGACACCAAUCUCUCUCUCUCUAUCUCUCUAAAAAUUCUAAAGGGAAGGAAGAAUAGUGAGAAGGAAGAAGGAGAACGAAAGUCGUUUCAAAAACCAAUAAAAAAAUAUGGCAGAAACGCGGUUCUACACUCUUCAACUCUGUCCUUUGACGGUAAGGAAUCCAAUAUAAAUUUCAGCCCUUUUUUUAUCUCAAUCUGGCAACUUGAGCUCUACAUUCAUAAUCUGAUCAAUUGAGCCCAGAUGGAUUCAAAUGUUACUCGAUUUCAAAGCAAUUGAUACUCACCAUAAAAAGUUAAAAACCAUGGCAAAUCAUUUCCCUUUCAAUUAUAGUCUAAUGGCAAUGAGAGCAGUGUUUUCAGGAGUAUAUAUAUUCUUACCAGAGAAUGGCUUUGGAAGACAAUAAUAUGUAUAGAUCGGAGUGCCUUGCUGGAUGAAUGGAUACAGAGGAAGGCACUACUUGUCUUGUCAUCCAUGAGAGCCUAGAAAUAAAAUUAACUGUUGAUUUCUAUUCUUGCAUUUAUAUUAUAUUUGUUUUUGUAUUUUAAAAAUGUUUUAAAAAAAAUUAAUUUUUUUUAUUUUUUUGUUUUAAAUUAAUAUUUUUAAUGUUUUUAAAUAAUUUUGAUGAGCUGAUAUCAAAAAUAAUUUUAAAAAAUAUUAUUUUGAUAUAUUUUUAAAUAAAAAAUAUUUUAAAAAAUAAUCACAACCAUAUUCUUAAAUAUAUUAAAUAAUAUUUAUGUAGUUCUAUUUAUUAAGGGUAGAAUAAUACUUUCAGUUUAAUCUAUAUAUACUUUAUUUGUAUUUAGGUUAAGACUAAGCAUUCAUAAUAUACAAAUUAUUUAGAAUUCUAAUAUUUUUUUUAUAUUUGAUCUUAAUUAUUUUAAUAUGGUAUCUGAGCUUGUUUUGAAAAUUCAUAAUAUACGUUAUGGGUUUCGAAAAUGCGGUGGAUAAGCGGAAGGCCUUGCAGGAGAUGUUUAGAGUACUGAGACCAGGUCCUAUCUUCUUCCCUCUUAUUUGAAUUAACAAAUCGUGACAUUUCUCACCCUUGUGUUGAUAUACAAGUUCUAAAGCAUCAGUCCUUGAUUUUAAUUGCAAAAUGAAGAGUGCUUUUCUGUCUUUUUUUUUUCUCUCCAUGUUUGUCGAUAUAAUGUGCUUGGACUCAGAGGAAUGAAAUCCGAUCCUUAGCAACGAAUGCUUUUGCAUUAAUAAUUGUCCUUUUAUCUAUGAUGAUUGAUAACUGUAGGCGGAAGAACUUGCUCUGGAAAUAGGAUUUUGUACUGCCAAACACUAUGAGAUUAGUGGGGGCCUAAUGGGGAAUGUAGUAGCCACGCGCUAGAUGAGGUUGGUUCUCAGUUUUUAACAGCAUGUUUUCAAAGUUUUUGUUUGGGAAGGACAUAUUAUAUAUAGGGGUGGAUGAUUUUUAUGUUUAGAAUGUUUACUGCAACUCAGGCAUUACAAAUGAUAAGCUAAAAGCCACCAACAAUCUGGCUCCAUGGAUGAUGAAUUUCCGUUGUAUUAUUUUUCGACGGGAGCUUCCUGCCCAAGAGCAUCCUUGAUGGAAGAGGAAAUGCAUGUCAACCCCUCAAUCAAGAAGUUUGUAUUCUUACAUGAUUUUUAUUUUCAAAAAGAUCUUAAAACUUGUAAUUCUAGUUUCCUCAGCUAGAUUUGUUUAUUUAAUCCUACAAAAUUUUCUAAAUCAGUCUGUAAAACUUUACACUGUCAUGCACUCUUGUCCAACUCCAUGAUGAUAUAGGAAUUGGCAUUACUGCACUCAAUCUCAUCUUUACAACUGUAUAAUUUAUUGACAACUUCUCAUAUGCCCAUCAUCAUAUUCUUUUUGCAAAUGCUUCUGACACGGUGCUUGAAUUAGUGGAACUGUGGCCUCAGAUGUUUGGCCAGUUUCAAUAAAUAGAAGCAGUAUGAUGCACUGUUCCUUUGUGAAAUAUACCUUUCAUCCGUCUUGAGGUUAUCUUGGGUGGAAGGAACUAUUUUCAAUGGUGGCAAUUGAUGCUGAAGUACCAGAAUUAAGGGGGUAACAUGGGUCCUCGCAUAUGUCAUUGAGUUCCAUGGUCAUUUCGUCUAUGAAAGGGGGAUUAGAGGGCCGAGGGAGAUGUUCCUCAGUUGUUAGCAUUUGUAGAGCCUUUGACAUUGUUGGUCGAAGUGAUGGGAUUUCUUGGGUGCACAGAAGGCCCACAUGCACUGCUCUCUUAACAUCAUUCAUAACAUUGUUAUCAUGGUGGUUAUGCAGCAUCAGAUUUGGGUCAUAAAGCUCCUCCACAGUUUCUGCCUGGAAUUUUUUCCACGUCUGUUUUCUCCAACAAAAGAGAGGAUUUAUGGAUAAGUUAAAAGACCGGCCUUUCUUAAAUACUUUUAAAUUAAAGACAACAAGGAAGUUUUAUGGAAAGCAUCUGAAACUUACUAGUAUGACUAGACUCUCCGUGUAUUCUGAGUUUUUGCUCCUGUUAUUCUGCCUUCCUGUAACAAUCUCCAACAAAAGCACCCCAAAGCCGUAGACAUCUACCUUUUCUGUUAACUGACCAUGGGCUAGGUAUUCCGGAGCCAUGUAACCUCUGCAAAUUAUUUGAAUUCAUUGCUUGUUCGAAUAUUCAAGGACUUUAAUUUGCAUUUAAAGUACUGCAAGAUUUCUGGGCCAGCUAAUUGUCUUUCGAGCACUUUGGAAAUAUCUGAAAGAAAGAUACUUACAAUGUUCCUGCAAUGGCUGUGCUGAUGUGACUCUUAUCAUCUUGGAAAGACCUGGCUAACCCAAAAUCAGCAAUUUUAGCGCGAAGCCUUGAAUCUAACAAGAUAUUGCUGGCCUUUAUAUCUCUGUGAAUGAUUCUGAUACUGGAGUUCAUAUGAAGGUAGGCUAAACCUUCUGCAGUGCCAGUAAUUAUCUCAUAUCUCUUCUCCCAGGUCAGCUCCUUGCCUUUGUUCUGAUCUGCCACAUUUAGAUAUGCAAAACACCAUCAAGUUCCAUUUCAGUCAGCAUUCCAACUCCGACACAGACUUAAAACAGCGACAAUAUCAGCAAUGCAGUAAGGCAAGUAUUCUUUGUUGGUACUCUAUUGAUAGCAUUUUUGCAAUAUCAGAAUUAAGGUUUAAAUGUAGAUUUAUAGCAUUUACCGAAGAUGAAACGAUCGAGACUCCUGUUAGGCAGGAAUUCAUAGACGAGAAGGCUUUCAGGUCCAGAACAACUGCACCCCAACAACCUGACCAGAUUUUUGUGUUCCACACUACUUAUCAUGUUUACUUCAUUGUAGAAAUCCGCAGCUCUAUGUCUGUUGUUAAAGAAGAGCCUCUUCACUGCAAUCUCCCUUCCAUCAGGUAAAGCUC
rnacentral:lncRNA from 1 species